rnacentral:rRNA from 1 species
UACGGAGGGUGCGAGCGUUGUUCGGAAUUAUUGGGCGUAAAGGGCGCGUAGGCGGUGCGGUAAGUCACCUGUGAAAGCUCCUGGCUCAACUGGGAGCUUGCAGGCGAAACUGCCGUGCUGGAGUGUGGGAGAGGUGCGUGGAAUUCCUGGUGUAGCGGUGAAAUGCGUAGAUAUCAGGAGGAACACCUGUGGCGAAAGCGGCGCACUGGACCACAACUGACGCUGAGGCGCGAAAGCUACGGGAGCAAACAGG